UACGGAGGGUGCAAGCGUUAUCCGGAUUCACUGGGUUUAAAGGGUGCGUAGGUGGGCAGGUAAGUCAGUGGUGAAAUCUCCGAGCUUAACUCGGAACUGCCGUUGAUACUAUUUGUCUUGAAUAUUGUGGAGGUAAGCGGAAUAUGUCAUGUAGCGGUGAAAUGCUUAGAUAUGACAUAGAACACCAAUUGCGAAGGCAGCUUACUACACAACGAUUGACGCUGAGGCACGAAAGCGUGGGGAUCAAACAGG
rnacentral:rRNA from 1 species